CUAGAGCCCUCGCCUCUCAGGCUUGUUUGAAUUCGAGGUCUAUCAUAAACACCGAAAAUAAACACUCAGUCAACGCAUGAAAAGGGGAAGUGGUGAAUGCAUCUUCUUUCCAGAGCUUCAGUUCUUUAGACUGGGAGGCACAUGUCAGACGUCUUUUGACAACAGCUUUGCACCUGUUUUUUGCUGUUGUGUCUAGCAGAUGGAUCUACCCACGGAUCUUUCGUCCAGGUUAUGGAUGCUUAUUAUUAUUAUUAUUUUUAUGUGGAUUUUGAUCAGCCUCGUCUUCAUCUUGAUCAACAAGUGCAUUUCAAAGUUGACUGAAAAACCAUAUACUUUAUCACCACAAAUGAAAGGCGGGAACAGGAAGAGAAACCAAACCCAGAACCCACCAGCAUCAUGACAAUGAAAGUAUUACUCUGAGGCAUUUGCUGCAAAGCCAAAGAAAAGCUAUUAUAAUUGCUAUUAUUAGUGGUGCCCACUGGAUUUGAUUAUCUUAGAUGAAACUUUUAUAAUCCCUGAGGGAAACUGCUGCAGAGACAGCGGCUCUGUAUUUAGUAAUCACAAGUAGAAGCACAUAUGGAUACAAAAAGAGGAUUGUGAAAACAUGAAUACUGUUUGUGUAUUGUGUAUAAAUACGAUUUAAUGUGCAAAUGUUUUUUUUUUUUUAAUCAUUUCUAACAACAUAAUCCAGUAUUCGCUAAAAUAAUAACGCUCUGGUUUCCAUAUUGCUCAAAGAUUUAUUGUAGACUUUUCUUAUUUCUGCAUUGCUUGAAAGUAAGUGCUCUGCUUUUGUUUUUCCAAAGGAAAACUCAGAAUCGCAGAGCUCCAGAGAAUGUCUGGCUUCUCCACCAAGUAGGAAAUCUCACUCCACUGGAUUUUCCUCAGAUUUCAUAUUGAAUAGAAAAAGUUUCACAUUUAAGGAGAUGCAUUUAUUCUCUUUGUUUGCCGUGUAUCACAUGAGAAGAGUUACACUGCAUGUAUAUUUGUUGGUUAGAUAUAAAGCUAAAGUAUAAAACAUAAAGCUGUUGUUUUCAAGGCCCUGAUGGAGCCCAACAAUUUUAAAUUGCAGAUUUUGUUCUGAUAAAAAAAAACAGAUAUCAAGAUAUAACUUGAUUAUUAUUGAACUGCAAAAGUAGAACUUUAAUUGAGACCAGAUCCGAGUUCCACCCUGCUGCAGUCAUGAAAUGUUUCUUCCAAAAAGAGUUUGUGACUAAUAGAUGGUUCCUGAGUAGAACCUUUAAGAAGAACCCUUUGGAAGCCUUACGUUUGUAGCUUCUUAGUGAAGGACACAUGUGUGAAUUAUAUCAAUAUUCUCAUCUGGCAAAAAAAGUGAAUAAAUGUGUUUCACAAAGUGUGUCACUGAUCCAUGAGGUUGGAUUCUACACUCGAAAGUGUGAAACAUUUCUUCUUCUCGAUUCCUCAGGAGCAAUCAAUACCAGGGGGGCGAGUAUGUUUCGGAGAUCCCACCUUUACCUCCUCGGACACAGUUUCUCCUCACAGAGGCCCAAAGUUAUGAGAACCUGGACGCCGCAGAUGAUCAGACUGAUCGGACUGAUCAGACUGAUCAGAUCGUCCACGAGCAGGACGUCCCAGACUACGAGCAGGACGUCCCAGACUACGAGCAGGUUGACCAGGACGUCCCAGACUGCGAGCAGGACGUCCCGGAAUACGAGCAGGACGUCUCAGACUACGAGCAGGUUGACCAGGACGUCCCAGACUACGAGCAGAUUGACCAGGACGUCGCAGACUACGAGCAGGACAAGCAGUCCGACUCUUUGAAGGCGGUGGGUGAGGACGAGCCUCUCCCUCUGAUUCCACGGUACCCAGAUCUAGAUCCAGCAGCAGACAGUUUCUCAGAGGACGACUACGACGACAUCGGGGGUGAAGAUGAAACCGAGGGGGAAGAGGACUACGACGAUGUGGCUUAGGACCACAAGAGAACGGGAGAGAGAUCAUUCAAGUAAAGACGCUGUCAACCCUCUGGAUCAGAACGAAGUCCCCCGGGCAGGUGGAAGGUUUUCAUGUGUUUCAUAAGUAGAAGGGGUGGUUGUCUGUAGUUAAUGUGUGGUUUUCAAGGACAAAGAAGAGGCAGAACACAUACGUGACUCAUUUUCCAGGCAAAGGAUGUGGUCAGUUUAAUCUACAGGAAUACUUCAUAUUCUAAUCAUCCAUGUUUGUAGCGUCUAAAAAGAACAACCUGCCUGUUUUCAGCUAAGAGGCUUUUUAAAAUAGUUGAUUCCAUUUAAGGGGAAGGAGGAUUUCCUUUAUCUCUUUAUUCAGUUUAUCAGAAACACUCUACAUCCGCAUCUGGACACGUGGUUUUCACUUGGCAGGAAGGGGAUGAAAAACAGUCAUCUGAAAAGAAACUAAAGCCGUCAGCGAAAUGUGGUAGAGAAAACAGUACAAUACAAUUAUGAGUAAGUACAUUAAAUAGGAAAACUUGAGUAAAAAACCUAUUGAUUGGUUUAGAAAGCAGACAAGGCUCAGAGGCAUUUCCUCCUUCUUCUUUUCUGCUGAAUCCCAAGUUUUAGAGACUCUGAUCCCGGUUUGGUUACGACUGCGUCAUCAGUCGAGCCGUCGAAGGCUUAAAAUAACUAUAAAAAAAAAAAAAUGUUUUUAUGCUGCCGUGUGGUUGACGCUGCAUUCUGAUUGUACAGCUGUUGAUUGUUGUUGCGCUUUAUGAGCUUUGACUCACCUGUCAAUGUAGCUGGGUUGCAUUUAAGUAAUUUAGCAUGUUAACAUAGUCCGUGCAUGUAGAAGUCAUGGAGUCGAACUCGCACUUGAGUAUUGUUAAAACAAUCUCUUACCCUGCUUGGAGUAAUGUCACGCUCAUCCUCCGUCUUAUACGUUCCAUCUCCACAGGGGUCGUGUCGGGCCCCUCGGGUGGCAGCAGGCCCUCAGCAGCCUCUCAGCCCGGUCGUCCUCUGUGGAUCCAAACAUUGGAUUCAAAAAGGGAAAGAAUUCUACCAAAAAACAUAGUUAUUUGAUCUCCGUUUAUGAAAAAGCGCCGUUAAGCCAGCAGUUUGGUGACCCACAUACAUAAUCUCUCACACUCUGACCACAUAAUAACAUCCUGCCAGUCAUCAGUCACUGCCUUACGUAGCCCUCGGGAAGUUUUAAUGAAUAUAAGUGGAUUUGAAUGCCUCGGUUUAGGAUUAAGUGAUCUGACGGCGCUCCAAAGAGACAAUGCAGGAAAAGAAAAAGCUGGGGGAAAAAAAAGAGGGGAAAUUUUUUUGGGGGAAAAAAAUCCAGCGAAAACAGGAAGGUCACUGAGGUUAAACAAUUUAAAAAUGUGAAGAAAAAGACAAGAUUCUUUCCUUUUUUCUUUUUUACAGUCUGUGCUGGCAUUGUCCACUGUGCAGCUGAUUGAUGGAAUACUUAACUAAUAAUAUAUUAUUUAGCACAUGAAAAUAUAUUAAAAUGUUUUUUUGAUGGAUUUAACACAUUAUAAUGUACUUGUCAGUGUAUAUUUAGUGUGUAUUAAUGUGCUGUGAUUGCCAACAAUCAUAACCACGUAAGACAGUUAUAUUUUCAUGUAGUUCAGGAAGAGUUUGGAUUGUUUACCACAUUAAUAGAAGGAUUUGUCUUAUAAUUAGGUUCAUAUAGUUAUUGGCUCUCUAACAGAAAACAUUUUCGUAGGAAAAUCUUUCGUUUUUCACAAGGACUUUAAUUUUGAAGAAUCUAAAACGGAAGUGUAGCUGUAGCUAAAGGUGUGGGUUUGAAACAGCAAGCCCACGCUUUCUUUUUUGAAAAUUCGUAUAAAUAUUAGAUUGUGUUGAUAGAUGAGAGGAGACAAUGCUGUUUGAAAAAGAGUUCAAAAGGAAUAUUGACUCCUAAAAAACUUUAUUUUAUGUUAAAAACGUGCAUCUUUAUCAACACUAUUACAGCAACAGAUAGAAAUAUAUAAACGUCCAAUUCGAUUCAAUUUUAAAAAUACCAUCAGAAAUUAUAUGCAAAAAAACAAUAAACAACCACAUACCACGGUGAAAACACAAAUGUACUUUCCGUUACAGUAUUAUCUGUUUUAUCAGAGGCUUAUAUUAUUUUGGGAUAUUUUUAUUGCCUGAUUUUGUUGGUCUCAAUGUUGUCCUGAAAUGUUUUAAUCCCAGUUUAACCACCAAAGGCACUUUGUUUAAAGUAUAACAUGCUGUAUGAAUUUGGUUGAUUAUUAAGAUGAUUGUUCCAAAAUUGUUUUGUGUUUUAUUCACACAAAGAUUUCACGUGUUGUGGAUAAAAUGUUCAAUGUAUUUUAGAAGUGCAGCAUAAUAUUUAGUUUACCUAAGCGUAGUGUGUAGCAACCUGACAUCCUGCCUGUACAGAUAAAACGUGAUUUGCUUUUUAAUAAUAGUUAUGGGAUGCACCAUGAUGUAAUAAAUAAAACGUAACGAUAGAGCUAUUUAUAAAACAAUGCAGUUCCGGUUUUAAAGCUGUAUUUGGUGGUACAAGUGAAAGUUGUUACGUUAAUUGUUGCUAUUGUUACAGUGACUUUCCCCUCUACUGUUUAACAGUUUAAUUUGGUGUGUUUCCUUCCUCCUUAAAUAUGAAUGAUACUAUCUGAACGGUUGUAUGAAUUGUUGGUGUCUUUUCUUAUUAGAAUAAAUUCUUUGCACUCUUUUUUGUCAUUUAUUAUGCUUAGCAAUCAACAUGAGAGAAAAGAAAAAGCAAGUAGCCAUCAGCAAUGAUUAUGAAUAGAAAAUGUUCAGUAAAUAGAACGAAAUAGGCGAAAUACAAA
ensembl:lncRNA